AACGUCCCAGUUCGGAUUGUAGUCUGCAACCCGACUACAUGAAGCUGGAANCGCUAGUAAUCGCGAAUCAGAAUGUCGCGGUGAAUACGUUCCCGGGUCUUGUACACACCGCCCGUCACACCAUGGGAGUCGGAAAUGCCCGAAGUCAGUGACCCAACCGUAAGGAGGGAGCUGCCGAAGGUGGAGCCGGUAACUGGGGUGAAGUCGUAACAAGGUAAC
rnacentral:rRNA from 1 species